ACGUCGAACGCUGCCCCUGUUCCCCUUCGGGGGAAAAGGUGGCAGAGUGGCGGACGGGUGAGUAACACGUGGGGAACCUACCCAGCAGCGGGGGAUAACACUUGGAAACAGGUGCUAAUACCGCAUAAGCCUUUUUUCCACCUGGAAGAAAGGGAAAAGGCGCUUUAAGCGUCACUGCUGGAGGGGCCCGCGGUGCAUUAGCCAGUUGGUGAGGUAACGGCUCACCAAAGCAACGAUGCAUAGCCGACCUGAGAGGGUGAUCGGCCACACUGGGACUGAGACACGGCCCAGACUCCUACGGGAGGCAGCAGUAGGGAAUCUUCGGCAAUGGACGCAAGUCUGACCGAGCAACGCCGCGUGAGUGAAGAAGGUUUUCGGAUCGUAAAGCUCUGUUGUCAGCCAAGAACAGGAAGAAGAGGGAAUGCUUUUUCUAUGACGGUAGCUGACCAGAAAGCCACGGCUAACUACGUGCCAGCAGCCGCGGUAAUACGUAGGUGGCAAGCGUUGUCCGGAUUUAUUGGGCGUAAAGGGAGCGCAGGCGGUUCGUUAAGUCUGAUGUGAAAGCCCUCGGCUCAACCGAGGAGGGGCAUUGGAAACUGGCGAACUUGAGUACAGAAGAGGAGAGUGGAAUUCCAUGUGUAGCGGUGAAAUGCGUAGAUAUAUGGAGGAACACCGGUGGCGAAGGCGACUCUCCGGUCUGUGACUGACGCUGAGGCUCGAAAGCGUGGGUAGCAAACAGGAUUAGAUACCCUGGUAGUCCACGCCGUAAACGCUGAGUGCUAAGUGUUGGAGGGUUUCCGCCCUUCAGUGCUGCAGUUAACGCAUUAAGCACUCCGCCUGGGGGAGUACGACCGCAAGGUUGAAACUCAAAGGAAUUGACGGGGGGCCCGCACAAG
rnacentral:rRNA from 1 species